GAUCAAAGUUAAACAGAAACUCGAGUUAACUGAAGCGUCCGAAAGAACAGCAGCAUUUCGAAGGCUCACAUUUGAUUAAGGAGUCAGAUAAAAGCCAGGGGUAGGCCAGGCCUGUGCGAGCGAGGCCAAAUGCCCGACUUCGUGUAGCCCCUUGACUCAAGCUGCGUGUCAUCCCCAGGCCCCACUCCGAUUGCUGAAAGCGGCAGCGGGCCCAAUACUAGUCCUACCCAUGGGCAGCUGGAGGAGGACCUCCACCCGCCCUACUCUACACUGAGGUAGGAGUGACCAGUCUGCCACAGAGGCCCAGCAGGAGUGGGGUUCACCCUGGAGUGGAGGAGCCCGGGAAAGAGAGGCAGAGAGGAUGGAGAAGGUAAGGGACUCUCCUGUUCCUACCCCCGUUUCCAUGGAAGCCUCCCCCACCAACCUCGCCUGGAAAGGGGCCUCAGUGAGAUUUGCUACCCCAGAUGUGGCCUGCAGAGAUGUGGACCAUGAGUGCUGAUGGACCAGUCCCCAGGACCUUGCUGGGAUGGAGCCCAAUGUGUCCAGAUGUUCAGGACCAGGCAGCCUCUGGCUGCCCCGGAAGCAGACACACGGCCGGGCCCUCCUCACCCUGGAUAGCAGCCCACAUGACUCCCCAUCAUCUUGCGUGGCCCUAACAGAAGAUGCGGUAGGCUGUUCUCCUGUCAGGACACAUUCCCGUGGAGCUAUCCAUGCAAGAUGGGCUCCGCCAGCUGUGGCCAGGUGCGGGCCUCCACCGGGAGGCAGCCUGAGCCACCCCACAUUCAGCUAUUUCAAGGAUGGAAUGUGUGUGGGACUGACUCCCUGUGACACCAGCUGGGUAAAAUCUGAGCCAAUGGCCCUGGGGUAGCCCCACCCUAUCAGGUCCAGCUGUGGUCCCUAAUGAAGCCAUGAGCAUCCCCUUGGCUUCUGCACAGCCCAGGCCCUUCCUGGAGCAGGCUCACACAUCCAGCUCCUCUGCCCGUAGUCUGUCCCUUACCCUCUGUAUGCAUCUUCUCAGCCAGAGACCUGCUCAUCCUCUGGGUGGUCCUCCGCCCAUCUGUUCCUCCAUUCCAGCCCUUUCCUGGGACUAAGUACUAUCUAUCUAGUGCUUGACCCUGCCCUACUUGUAACCCUUUUCUUUCUAUACCCUAGGCCUGCACAGGGUCUGUGCAGGCUCUGGGCCAGCAACUUACCAGGAACCAGCAACUUGCCAGGAACCACCCAAGUCUGUCCUUCGGGCAUCCAACAGGAUGAUUCCCUACAGAAUCCCAGGGAACCCUCAUGGCUGCAUUACUGCAUACCUGAAAUUACUACAGCAGACACCCCUUUGAGUCCAGCAGAGCCUCCCAGCUCCAGAGCCCAUUGACUAAAGGUCAAGGCCACUUCCCCUCACGCAGAGGACAGAUGUCACGUCCUACAGGCUGGCCAAGGCCUCCCAACACAAACAAGAGCUGAGAGGUCAGGAGCACAGCUUGGUAGCACUCUCCAAAGGGCCUGGUCCCUGACUAGACACAAAAGGAAGCCACUUAGAGCCUGGUCCAACUGCCCCUGCCCUGCCUUGAUCCUGGGAUAAUCUGAAGAAUGACUCCCUCUUCUGUUCACGUGGCUAUCCUGUAGCCAUCAAAGGCUAUGCACGCCAGAGCUUGGCUGGGCAGAAGCCUAUAGGUUAUACAGGAGGCUGGAGCCUAUGACCGACCCUCCCUGUGUGGCUGGCACCUUUCAGCCCUUUGGCUAGGCUGGCUGGGGCCACAGGGAGAACUUCAGACAAUGUGGCUCAGAGGCUAGGGACAAGGACAGAACAGCUGGAAUUUGGUAGGAAUCAAAGCUCACUCGUUUGUGUCCCGUUACUGCUUGGUUUCUCAAUUUCCAGCCUGUCACUGAGGCAGCCCCUGGCUAACUCUGUGUGGACUAAAUCUCCCUGUGACUCAGGGAGCACCUGGGGCAGGUGAUGACCUGUCACAUGGAUGGGCGAGUGUGCUCUCUGUUCCUGGACCCUAGACGGUGGAGGUUGACCGAACAGAGCUCCAAAGAACACCUCUGGACUGCGAUACACCUUCCCCAGACCCCGAGACCUACCUAUCCUUUCAUUUGUAAGU